AGUUGGUACGUGAAGACUGACUGACACACACAGUACGUGUUUGUGUGUGUCUUUCUCCAGAGGAAAGGGAGUGUUUCUGCUUCUCUAUGCUGAGACACAAGAAGAGGAAGUGUAUCAACCGCCAACUUCCUGUGAUGGCACGUGCUGCACAAGUCGACCGUUUGAGUAACUUUUAAAAUCUUCGUGAAUGCACAAGUCCUGAACUCCUUCACACAAGUCGUUUUCUGUCAGCAACAAUCUGACACACGAUCCUCCGCUCCGCUACAAGACUAGCUGGGGCUCGUGCAUUAUUUAACACGUCUCUCAUCUCACCAGUAAGCCUAGUAGACUAGAAGACAGGCGUAUUAACACUGCAUGAGACAUGGGUAAUCAAACACCACACUGUCCACAGCUACUACGGGUGACCCCGACCAGGGGCCUCGUUUAUCGAAGGUGUGUGUGCGUACAAAAAAAGAAGAAGACUAAACUGCUCGCCUUGACAGAAUGGGUACAGUAGUGUUGGGAUUAGGAGUAGAGGUCGACCGACUAUGAUUUUAGUAUGGGUAGGCUACAGUAGUGUUGGGAUUAGGAGUAGAGGUCGACCGACCAUGAUUUUAGUAUGGGUAGGCUACAGUAGUGUUGGGAUUAGGAGUAGAGGUCGACCGACUAUGAUUUUAGUAUGGGUAGGCUACAGUAGUGUUGGGAUUAGGAUUAGAGGUCGACCGACUAUGAUUUUAGUAUGGGUAGGCUACAGUAGUGUUGGGAUUAGGAGUAGAGGUCGACCGACUAUGAUUUUAGUAUGGGUAGGCUACAGUAGUGUUGGGAUUAGGAGUAGAGGUCGACCGACUAUGAUUUUAGUAUGGGUAGGCUACAGUAGUGUUGGGAUUAGGAGUAGAGGUCGACCGACCAUGAUUUUAGUAUGGGUAGGCUACAGUAGUGUUGGGAUUAGGAGUAGAGGUCGACCGACUAUGAUUUUAGUAUGGGUAGGCUACAGUAGUGUUGGGAUUAGGAGUAGAGGUCGACCGACUAUGAUUUUAGUAUGGGUAGGCUACAGUAGUGUUGGGAUUAGGAGUAGAGGUCGACCGACCAUGAUUUUAGUAUGGGUAGGCUACAGUAGUGUUGGGAUUAGGAGUAGAGGUCGACCGACCAUGAUUUUAGUAUGGGUAGGCUACAGUAGUGUUGGGAUUAGGAGUAGAGGUCGACCGACCAUGAUUUUAGUAUGGGUAGGCUACAGUAGUGUUGGGAUUAGGAGUAGAGGUCGACCGACCAUGAUUUUAGUAUGGGUAGGCUACAGUAGUGUUGGGAUUAGGAGUAGAGGUCGACCGACUAUGAUUUUAGUAUGGGUAGGCUACAGUAGUGUUGGGAUUAGGAGUAGAGGUCGACCGACCAUGAUUUUAGUAUGGGUAGGCUACAGUAGUGUUGGGAUUAGGAGUAGAGGUCGACCGAC